rnacentral:rRNA from 1 species
UUGAACGCUGGCGGCAUGCUUUACACAUGCAAGUCGAACUGUAACAGGUUAAGCUGACGAGUGGCGAACGGGUGAGUAAUGCAUCGGAACGUGCCCGAUCGUGGGGGAUAACGCAGCGAAAGCUGCGCUAAUACCGCAUACGAUCUGAGGAUGAAAGCGGGGGAUCGCAAGACCUCGCGCAAUUGGAGCGGCCGAUAUCAGAUUAGCUAGUUGGUGGGGUAAAAGCCCACCAAGGCCACGAUCUGUAGCUGGUCUGAGAGGACGACCAGCCACACUGGGACUGAGACACGGCCCAGACUCCUACGGGAGGCAGCAGUGGGGAAUUUUGGACAAUGGACGAAAGUCUGAUCCAGCCAUGCCGCGUGCGGGAAGAAGGCCUUCGGGUUGUAAACCGCUUUUGUCAGGGAAGAAACGGCUCGCUCUAAUACAGUGGGCUAAUGACGGUACCUGAAGAAUAAGCACCGGCUAACUACGU